rnacentral:lncRNA from 1 species
UCUUCUUCUUUUUCUAUUCACUCCUCAACACUUGGAUUCCAAAAAUCCACCUGAGAUCGAUGUCUCCUUGACUUUCUCUGCUUUUGAAUUAACUCUGUUGCAGUCACUACAUGUGGGUUAGCUAGAGAGGCUCUCAGGUUGCUGCGGGAGCGGAAAGACGGAUAUGACAUCGUGAUCAGCGACGUGAACAUGCCUGACAUGGACGGCUUCAAGCUCCUUGAGCACGUUGGCCUUGAAUUGGACCUCCCUGUCAUAAGUGAGACGUCUCUUAUCAAGAUCUUGGAGUAAUAAAGAAACAAAAACGUUUCGUAAUCUUGUUGUUUUGUUACAGUGAUGUCGGUGGAUGGUGAAACGAGCAGAGUGAUGAAAGGAGUGCAGCAUGGAGCUUGCGAUUACCUAUUGAAGCCGAUAAGAAUGAAGGAGCUGAAGAUUAUAUGGCAACAUGUCCUGAGAAAGAAGCUUCAAGAAGUGAAAGACAUCGAAGGCUCAUGCUGCUACGAAGGAGGAGCUGAUUGGAUCAUUAGAAACG